rnacentral:lncRNA from 13 species
UCCUGCACAGAUUAUCACUAUAUGCGAAGUGCUCUGUAUUUCAGUUUAUGAAAAAGCACCUAAGUAUCCAUAUAUAACGACUAUAUGAAUUUGAAAUGAAAUAUACUAUACUCUAUUUUUGUGUGUAAAUCGUCACAGUUGUUUGUGGUGGACUACAGUGCUAUAUGAGGUAUUUAUGGAUUCAUAUACUGUAUUUUUAUGUUCUGUGAACGCUCUAAAAGACUCUGGGUUGAGGUCAGUGAUAAAGAUAAAAUAUUGGAUGGAGUUUGAAACAAACACAAGCAUGGAACCAAACAAUUCAACUAACUGUAACAUGGAGUUCAGUUACAUUUGUUAAAUGUUGAAUAAAGUAUAAAUAAAACUAUUAAGAAUAUGUAUUUAUCAGUUUGCCCUAUUUCAUCUAUUCACAACAACUGUGUGUUUGCCUGUUUGCCAUAGAAGGUUUAUAGAACCUCUCCCUAUGGCUGUGACUGGUGAACUAAAGGGUACACUCAAUAUGGCUGACCUGGUAGAGGAUUUCCAUUCUAGAGAUUAUAUUUCUAUGGCUAGCCUGCUUUCUCACAGUACAAGAUUAGUAUGUGACAGGCGAGCCGACUGAGAGAUGACGAGCAGCAGACGAUCGANNNNNNNNNNUAAUAGUGAAUACUGUAUACACCGCUCUGUUAGUGAAUACUGUAUACACCACUUUGUUAGUGAAUACUGUAUACAGUACACUCUGCUAAUAGUGAAUACUGUAUACAGUAUACUCUGUUAAUAGUGAAUACUGUAUACACCACUCGGUUAGUGAAUACUGUUUACACCACUCUGUUAGUGAAUACUGUAUACACCACUCUGUUAGUGAAUACUGUAUACACCACUCUGUUAGUGAAUACUGUAUACACCACUCUGUUAGUGAAUACUGUAUACACCACUCUGUUAGUGAAUACUGUAUACACCACUCUGUUAGUGAAUACUGUUUACACCACUCUGCUGAUAGUGAAUACUGUAUACACCACUCUGCUGAUAGUGAAAACUGUAUAGUGAUCAAUCGCUGACAGUCCUGCACAGAUUAUCACUAUAUGCGAAGUGCUCUGUAUUUCAGUUUAUGAAAAAGCACCUAAGUAUCCAUAUAUAACGACUAUAUGAAUUUGAAAUGAAAUAUACUAUACUCUAUUUUUGUGUGUAAAUCGUCACAGUUGUUUGUGGUGGACUACAGUGCUAUAUGAGGUAUUUAUGGAUUCAUAUACUGUAUUUUUAUGUUCUGUGAACGCUCUAAAAGACUCUGGGUUGAGGUCAGUGAUAAAGAUAAAAUAUUGGAUGGAGUUUGAAACAAACACAAGCAUGGAACCAAACAAUUCAACUAACUGUAACAUGGAGUUCAGUUACAUUUGUUAAAUGUUGAAUAAAGUAUAAAUAAAACUAUUAAGAAUAUGUAUUUAUCAGUUUGCCCUAUUUCAUCUAUUCACAACAACUGUGUGUUUGCCUGUUUGCCAUAGAAGGUUUAUAGAACCUCUCCCUAUGGCUGUGACUGGUGAACUAAAGGGUACACUCAAUAUGGCUGACCUGGUAGAGGAUUUCCAUUCUAGAGAUUAUAUUUCUAUGGCUAGCCUGCUUUCUCACAGUACAAGAUUAGUAUGUG